rnacentral:misc_RNA from 1 species
GAUGAAGAACGUAGCGAAAUGCGAUAAGUAAUGUGAAAUGCAGAAUUCAGUGAAUCAUCGAAUCUUUGAACGCACCUUGCGCCUUUUGGUAUUCCGAAAGGCACACCUGUUUGAGCGUCAUGAAUACCUCAAUCUCCAUCUUUUCUUCGGAUUGAUGGGUGACUUGGAUGUUGAGCCCUGCUGGUAUGCUAUAUCAGCUGGCUUUAAACUUAUUAGCCGGCUCUGUACUGGAUCGGUUUGACUCGACGUGAUAAUAUUAUCGUUGAGGAUGCAUGUCUCAUGCAGCCGGAAAGUAUCAAAGCAGCUUCUAGCUUGCCUUUAGUGCACUUUUACAUUUUAGACCUCAGAUCAGGUGGGACUACCCGCUGAACUUAAGCAUAUAAUAAGCGGAGGA